rnacentral:misc_RNA from 1 species
CAGUUACUCAGUACCACACCGCA